AAGUCGUAACAAGGUUUCCGUAGGUGAACCUGCGGAAGGAUCAUUACCGUGGGGAUCCGUCCCCAUCGAGAUAGCACCCUUUGUUUAUGAGUACCAUUUGUUUCCUCGGCAGGUCUGUUCUGGACCCGCCGCUAGGACCCCCUAAAAAACCUUUGUAGUUGCAGUACCUUCAGUAAAAAAAAAAAUCAAAACUUUCAACAACGGAUCUCUUGGUUCUG
rnacentral:misc_RNA from 1 species